AUGAGAUGAAACACAAGACUGGUCAUAGGGCAGCCAGAAAAAGAUAAUAAGAAUGUAAGAAUCACUAAAAUAAAUCAGACCCACGAUCCAUUUGCCUGUGCAUCACUCUCCCUGUGGUACCAAUGAGAACAAGAAUUGAUUAAAGAUGCCCCUCUACAAUUCCUGAGUAUUGGUAACAUCAGGCAAUCAGCCUUUCCAGAAGACAAGAGGAAAAAGAGAAAACACCUCUGUUUGAAGCAGGAAAAACAAAGAAAAAAAAAGCAUCAUCAUUAGAACAGACUUAGGACAAAACAUAAUUUAAGAUGCUUAACAGUUGAUCUUGUGCUCAUUUGAAUCUGCCGGAUAUUGUCUUGAGCACUGAACUACUGAAAUCAAGAGAUAAACAAUGGAGAGAACUGAAAUUAAAAGUUAAAUCCUUG